rnacentral:tRNA from 1 species
GCCCCUGACCUGCUGUUUCGGGUACCAACCGGUACCUGCGGACAGGACUGAAACCCUGCAAACUGUCCUCCGGAGCCGGGUGCGCAGGUUCGAAUCCUGCCGGGGGCA